UACGUAGGGGGCAAGCGUUGUCCGGAAUCAUUGGGCGUAAAGCGCGUAUAGGCGGCCUUGUAAGUCCGUUCUGAAAGCCCGGGGCUCAACCCCGGGAGGCGGAUGGAUACUGCAAGGCUCGAGUACGGAAGAGGCGAGUGGAAUUCCUGGUGUAGCGGUGAAAUGCGCAGAUAUCAGGAGGAACACCAAUUGCGAAGGCAGCUCGCUGGGACGUUACUGACGCUGAGACGCGAAAGCGUGGGGAGCAAACAGG
rnacentral:rRNA from 1 species